rnacentral:tRNA from 1 species
GCCUGGGUGGCUCAGUCAGUUGAGUGUCUGACUUCAGCUCAGGUCAUGAUCUCACGGUCCGUGAGUUCGAGCCCCACGUUGGGCU